rnacentral:rRNA from 1 species
GUCCUUUAGAAUAGUAUUUAAGGUCUAGCCUGCCCAUUGAUUUAAUUUAACGGCCGCAGUAAUUUGACUGUGCAAAGGUAGCAUAAUCAUUAGUUUUUUAAUUAAAAGCUUGUAUGAAUGGUUUGACGAGAUAAAAACUGUCUCUAAAUUAUAUAUAGAAUUUAAUUUUUAAGUUAAAAAGCUUAAAUUUAAAUAAAAGACGAGAAGACCCUAUAGAUCUUUAUAUAAUUAUUUUUAUUUUUAUUAAAGAUUAUUUUAUUUAAUAAUUUUAAUUAUAUUUUAUUGGGGUAAUAAAAAGAUUUAAUUAAUUCUUUUAUAUUUAACAUAAAUUAAUGAUUUAAUGAUCCAUUUUUAAUGAUUAAAAGAUUAAGUUACCUUAGGGAUAACAGCGUAAUUUUUUUGGAGAGUUCUUAUUGAUAAAAAAGUUUGCGACCUCGAUGUUGGAUUAAAAAUUAUUUUAGGUGCAGAAGUUUAAAAAUUUGGUCUGUUCGACCAUUAAAUUUUUACA